rnacentral:rRNA from 1 species
AUGAACGCUGGCGGCGUGCCUAAUCCAUGCAAGUCGAGCGAACAGACGAGGAGCUUGCUCCUCUGACGUUAGCGGCGGACGGGUGAGUAACACGUGGAUAACCUACCUAUAAGACUGGGAUAACUUCGGGAAACCGGAGCUAAUACCGGAUAAUAUAUUGAACCGCAUGGUUCAAUAGUGAAAGACGGUUUUGCUGUCACUUAUAGAUGGAUCCGCGCCGCAUUAGCUAGUUGGUAAGGUAACGGCUUACCAAGGCAACGAUGCGUAGCCGACCUGAGAGGGUGAUCGGCCACACUGGAGCUGAGACACGGUCCAGACUCCUACGGGAGGCAGCAGUAGGGAAUCUUCCGCAAUGGGCGAAAGCCUGACGGAGCAACGCCGCGUGAGUGAUGAAGGUCUUCGGAUCGUAAAGCUCUGUUAUUAGGGAAGAACAAAUGUGUAAGUAACUGUGCACGUCUUGACGGUACCUAAUCAGAAAGCCACGGCUAACUACGUG